ensembl:lncRNA
AUUCAGUACCCCUCAUGUCACGUGUCAGCAGGAUGUCAUUAGUGUCAGAACGUCUCACUAUGACGGAGUAAAUCUGGGGCCAGUGUUUGGAGCGUGGGGGCAUCUAUGAUGUAGUCAAUCAGGGGCCAGUGUUUGGAGCGUGUGGGCAUCUAUGAUGUAGUCAAUCAGGGGCCAGUGUUUGGAGCGUGGGGGCAUCCAUGAUGUUUUAUAUUUGUUCUUCAGCUGGAACAAGGUGCCAGUGACGAUGAGAUCAUAAUCAGUACAGAGUUAGCAGGCUCGUUCCAUUCUCAUUGACCUGGCCAACACCAUGCCUACCCAGCUCUCCGCUCCGUAUCCUAUUGUUUUGUCCCACUCUAGCGUUGAAGUCACCCAGCAGAAACAUCUUGUCAUUCCUGGGGAUGCGGUGAAGGGCCUCAUCUAGUGACUGGUGGAAGCAGUCCUUUGCCUGAUUUUCAGAUGGUAACAUUGGUGUGUAUGCACUGAGAAGAGUAGCAUCAUUUUUUAAAAUUGUAUUUUAUUUAACCUUUAUUUAACUAGGCAAGUCAUUUAAGAGGCCUCCUGCGGGGUCAGAAGCUGGGAUUAAAAAUAAAUAAAUUAAAUAUGAAUAUAGGUCAAAACACAAAUCACGACAAGAGAGACUCCAUGUGCCUUUCAGUCUUUUAACUGUCACUGUUCUGUUGUGUGUUUGUUGUAGUAUUUAUUAUCACACACACACACACACUCUCUGACCCUCUCUUUCCUGUCUGUCUACAGUGGAGGAUCUGGUAGAAGAGGUGCCGUGUUUCUCAGACAGUACAUCUGAAGCUCUCUCUCUCAGCUCCUACACCUCAGACUCCUUCGAUGACAACGUGCCAGGUAUGGAUGGAGGGCAGACCUACAACACUCCAGCCUACCAGUGGGAGUCGUCUGAUUGGCUGUCCCCGUCCCGGCUCCGCCUACCUGGCAUCGAUGGGGGGUCACACUGUGACAUUACAGAUGACCUUCCGUCGUUCAGCAGAGCAGGAAGCGUGUACUCAUUACAGCUGGACUACGGGCUGGGGGGGUACAGGAGGGAAAGAGAGAGAGGAAACUCAGGGGAAAGAAGAAGCCUCAGGUCACUCUCAGCUGAGAGGAGGGGGUAUGAGAGAGAGAGAGAAAGAGACAUGGAGAGAGGGAGAGGGACGGAAAGAGCGAGAGGGAGAGGAAUGGAGAGAAGAAGAGGGAUGGAAAGAGAGAGAGGGAGAGGGAUGGAAAGAGAGAGAGGGAGAGGGAUGGAGAGGGCGAGAGGGAGAGGGAUGGAGAGAGCGAGAGGGCGAGGGAUGGAGGGAGAGAGAGGGAUGGAGGGAGAGAGAGCGAGAGGGAUAGAGAGAGCGAGAGGGAUGGAGGGAGAGAGAGGGAGAGAGAUAGAGAGAGAGAGAAGGAUGGGGAGAGGGAUGGAAGGAGAGAGAGAGGGAGAGAGAGAUAUAAGAUAUGGAGGGAGAGUUCACAGAGGCUAUGGUUCAGCUGAUAGAAGAGAUCAGAGAGAACCCUCAGGGGACAGAAGAGGAAACAGGAGUGAGUGUAGAGACGGAGGGGGCACAGGGGUGGCCAGACCACACACAGCAGACAGAAAGUACGAGAGGAGGUACGAGAGGCACACAGGGACAGGGUACGGGAUAGACAGAGUAUUCACGGUCGAAAAAAGAGUCCACUCCAGCGAGGGAGAGAAAGAGCACCAACCUAUUGAUCGAGAGGAGACCUCCUCACCAGUGUAUGAAGAAUACCGUGAACCCAACCCAGAUACAAUCCCUGCCCCAGACCCAGUUCCAGAACCUGACCAGAACCACUAUGAUACUCUUCCCCCAACACGGCCUGCUUACCAGGGUUACCCUUCUCCUCCUCCAGGGCUCAACCUCCACCCAGCCCAGCUGCUACCCCCGCUCAGGGCCUGGGACGGACAGAACGCCUGGGCGCCCCUGGAGGUGACCCAGGGGUCGGGAGUUGGCGGUCACGGUUCAAGGCUAGAGCGGUCUGAGUCAGGAGAUGAGCUGGAGAGACUGUUGAAUCUGGUGUCGCUCAGAGCUCGGAGGGCUACACGCACACAGAGACCCUCUGAAACACCCCCUCCUCCGGAACCAUCCACUGGCUGGGACGGGCUGUACUCAUCAGAGAAUCCUCCAGAACCAUCCACUGGUUGGGACGGGCUGUACUGAUCAAAACAUCUUCCAGAACCAUCCACUGGCUGGCUCUUUUGCGAGGCAGGACCAGCACAAGACAAGCUCCUGCAAUAGAGUCUCUAGAUUGAACAACUUAUUAAAUAAUAUCAAAUCUAUUUAAAUGCAGUCACUGUAAGAUAAUAGAAACGUUCCAUACAUUACCUCAAUAGUGCAACACAACAUGUAGUUCUGUUUUCACAACAUGCAGUUCUGUUUUCACAACAUGCAGUUCUGUUUUCCCAACAUGCAGUUCUGUUGAUGUAACUAUUAAUGCUUUGAGUCUGUAGCGGACCAUUUUAACUCAUGUACAGUAUGAUUACAUUACAUACACAGACACACAGACGGAGAGAGACAGACACACGGAGAGAGAGAGAGAGAGAGAGAGACAGACACACAGAAAGAGACAGACACACAGACGGAGAGAGAGAGACACAGACAGACAGGGAGAGAGACAGACACACAGACGGAGAGAGACAGACACACAGACGGAGAGAGACAGACACACAGGCGGAGAGAGAGAGACACACAGAAGGAGAGAGACAGACACACAGACGGAGAGAGACAGACACACAGACGGAGAGAGACAGACAGACACACAGAUGGAGAGAGACAGACACACGGAGAGAGAGAGAGAGACAGAGAGACAGACAGGUGGAGAGAGAGACAGACAGAGACAGAGAGACGGAGAGCAAGAGAGACAGACACACAGGGACGGAGAGAGAGACAGACAGACAGACAGAGACAGAGAGCGAGAGAGACACACAGAGAGAGAGAGAGACAGACAGACAGCGAGAGACAGACAAACACACAGAGACGGAGAGAGAGAGUAAGAGAGAGACAGACAGAGACUGAGACGAAGAGAGACAGACAGACACACAGAGACAAAGAGAUAAGCAGACACACAGAGACGAAGAGAUAGACAUACACACAGAGAUGAAGAGAAAGAGACAGACACACAGAGACGAAGAAAUAGACAGACAGAGACUGAGAUGAAGAGAGACAGACAGACACACAGAGACGAAGAGAGAGACAGACAGACAGAGAUGAAGAGAGACAGACAGACAAAGAGAGAGACAGACAGACAGAGACUGAGACGAAGAGAGACAGAAAGACACACAGAGACGCAGAGACAGACAGACAGACAGACAGACAGACAGACAGACAGACAGACAGACACACAGAGACAGAGAGAGAGAGACAGACAGCUACAGAGACGAAGAUAUAGGCAGACACAGAGACGAAGAGAUAAACAGACAAACAGAGAUGAAGAGAGAGACAGACAGACAGAGAGAGAGACAGACAGACACACAGAGACGGAGAGAGAGACAGACACACAGAGACGGAGAGAGACAGACACACAGACGGAGAGAGACAGACACACAGACGAGAGACAGACAGACACACAGAGACGGAGAGAGAGACAGACACACAGAGAGAGAGACAGACAGACAGACACAGGCUAUUGAAUAGCUGCAGUCACAGCCUGUAUCUUCACAGUCUCAACAAUAUGAAGUGUGGAUUCUCUGUUCAUUUGCAGUUGUAUGUUAUAUAUUUUACUACAGACAUUCUACAUGUACUGUAUGUUUGUCUUCUGUCUGUCAAUAUGAGUUUGAUUGUAAAUAUACAGUAUAUUUGCUAUUUUUCUGCAACUGAAUAAUACUUAGGAAUUGUUAGGUAACACUUUACAAUACAGACAGAUUCAUUAACAUGAGGCAAUAUAGUAGUUGACUUGAAAACAGCAUUACUCAGUGUAUUUAUGUAUAAACUUAACUUAGCUAAUUAGUUAUUGGUUAGCUAUUAGUUAGCUCUUGCUGUUAUUCGUGUUGAUUAAUGUCUCUUUGUUGUAACGACUUACCAACUAUUUAAUAGUCUGUUGAGUAACUAUCGAUGAUUAAAUAGAUGUGACACAUACAUGUUGUUGUUGAUGAUGAUGGUGAAGUCAGGCCUGUGUUGUGUGUUUUAAUUGAACAGAUAGUUCAGCUGGGGAGAGACAGGAAAGGCAGGGAGGUCGAGUCAAAGACAGGAACAUUUGAUUGUUUCGGGGGGAAAAAGAAAGUCUCUCACUUGGUUAACAUUUCCACAACAUUUUUGGCGACGAGGAUGGGAUGAUAAUCUUCAUUUUGCUGAUUGUUCCUGAUUGUUCCCGGAGAAAUCCAGGUUAACCGUGCACGGGAGUUGCAUUAGAUGCAGCCGGGGAGCAGAUCGGAUCCCCGUCUGGCUGGGAGGGUCAGAGGAAUGGAUACGUCAUUUAGAACAGAUAGAAUUCAGGUUGAGACUGAUGUUUCUUGACAACAAUCGAUAAAGAUAUCACGGGGUCCUAACGGGGGGCUGCUGUGAAUCUAUAUGGACCUGCGGGGUGCCAUCAUAGAGAAUCAUGUGGGGUUCUCUCACGACGACUAGUGAGAUGGGUGAGACUAACUAAAAGGGAUACCUAUGACUAGUGACACAGGUGAGACUAACUAAAAGGAAUACCUAUGACCAGUGAAACGGAUGAGACUAACUAAAAGCCCAGGGUGUGAGGUUCUGGAAACGGGACUAGUGAAGUUUGGACUGAUUAACCUUUCUAGCGCAGGGGUACCGCUAGCGGAACACCUCGAUAACAUUCCGCUGAAAAGGCAGCGCACGAAAUUCAAAAAUAUUUUUUUGAAAUGUGUAACUUUCACCCAUUAACAAGUCCAAUUCAGCAAAUGAAAGAUAAACAUCUUGUUAAUCUACCCAUCGUGUCCGAUUUCAAAAAAGGCUUUACAGCUAAAGCACAACACAUGAUUAUGUUAGAUCACCGCCAAGUCGAAAAAAACACACAGACAUUUUUCCAGCCAAAGAUAGAAGUCACAAAACAGAAAUAUAGAUCAAAUUAAUCACUAACCUUUGAUGAUCUUCAUCCGAUGACACUCAUAGGACACCAUGUUACACAAUACAUGUAUGUUUUGUUCGAUAAUGUGCAUAUUUAUAUCCAAAAAUCUCAGUUUACAUUGGCGCCUUACGUGCAGUAAUAUUUUCCAAAACAUCUGGUGAUUUAAGUAGAAAUACUCAUAAUAAACAUUGAUAAAAGAUAGAAGUGUUUUUCACAGAAUUAAAGUUAGACUUCUCCUUAAUGCAACCGCUGUGUCAGGUUUUAAAAAACUUUACGGAAAACGCAUAAUCUGAGAACGGCGCUCAUUUUGGAACAGCCGCCAUUUUGGAAUCAACAAAUUGAUAAACAAGACCAUAAAUUUCACUUACCUUUGAUGAGCUUCAUCAGAAGGCACUCCCAGGAAUCCCAGUUCGACAAUAAAUGACUGAUUUGUUCCAUAACGUUCCAUCAUUUAUGUCUAAAUAGCCACUUGUUGUUAGCGUGUUCAGCCCAGUAAUCCAUCUUCAUGAGGCAUUUCAUCCAGACAAAAACUCGAAAAGUUCUGUUAUACAAUCCUGUAGAAACAUGUCAAACGAUGUAUGGAAUCAAUCGUAAAAUUAACAUAAAACAUCAAUAAUGUUCCAACCGGAGAAUUCCUUUGUCUUCAGAAAGGAACGAGAGGUAACUCUGUCGGGAGCACGCAUCAUGAGACCAAGGCACUAUGCCAGAUCACUGACUCAAACAGGUCUCAUGAGCCCCUCCUUUACAGUAGAAUCAUCAUUCAAGUUUCAAAAGACGGUUGACAUCUAGUGGAAGCCCAAGGAAGUGCAACCUCAUCCAUAUCUCAAUGUGUACUCGGUAGGCCAAGCUUUGAAAAACUACAAACCUCAGAUGUCCCACUUCCUGGUUGGAUUUUUCUCAGGUUUUUACCUGCCAUAUGAGUUCUGUUAUACUCACAGACAUCAUUCAAACAGUUUUAGAAACUUCAGAGUGUUUUCUAUCCAAUACUAAUAAUAUUAUGCAUAUAUUAGCAUCUGGGACAGAGUAGGAGGCAGUUCAAAAUGUUCUACCUUUAAAAUGAAGGUAGAUCCAAGUAAAGGCUUUAGUACCAAAUAUUAAGCUGAUAAACCAGCACCAACUUUUUGAAGGUUCUAACAGAUUUGUUAAACAAUAAGUUUUAUAUUUUGACUAAAUUGAUGCAGCAGGUUAAAAUGAUAAGAUAACCAGAAAGGGGCUCUGUGUAAUGGCUCUCGUCGAAAGGAGUGGACCAAAGCGCAGCGUGGUAAGUGUUCAUGAUUCCUUUUAUUCAAAAACCACUUAAACAAAACAACAACGCGAAAACGAAAGCGCACAGUUCUGUCAGGUACAGACACUAAACAGAAAACAAGAUCCUACAAAACCCAAACGGAAAAUGGCAACUUAUGAUCCCCAAUCAGAGACAACGAUAGACAGCUGCCUCUGUUUGGGAACCACAACACUCACACCCUGACCUAACAAAACAUAGAGAAUAAUAAGG